UUUUGUGUCGGUGACUGUGACUGUGACUGCCCCGUUAGUAUCGGCAACGGGAUCGCGACGAAAAGUUCAGUUUCAUUUUCGUUGCUCGUUGUCGUGCGCUUUGAAAUGCUAGAACAACAACAACAAGAGCAGCCAAAGGAGACGCAAAAAGUGAAUAGAAAACAGCUAAAAAGUUUCGCAUAGAAG